UUACUUUCUAAGUACUAUAAUGCUUCAUUUCCUCCCACAAUGUAUUCUACAUAAUCUCAUUUUAAAAGUGGGAAUAGGUUUUUUUUUUUCCUGGAAAGAAAUAUAUUUUUAUCUGUAAUUUGUUGGAGUGAUGCAAAGAAGGGUAAGGCCUUAUUUCCCUAUGCUCUUCAAACGGCUAAACCAAUAAAGGAAACUGAGUCUAAUUCUUACAGACUUUGUUAAAUAAAUAAAUAUAUAUAAAACAUAUGACAUUUCAUAGCAUUUCUUUUCAUAUAUACAUAUAUGUAAAGAAAUGUUAAAUAUAUUUCAAAAACUUAGAAUUAUGUUAUUGCCUGUAUCACUUCUAAAUAAAACAAAAUUUAUUUGAAAAUAAAUUAUUUUUAAAAUGACAAAACAUCUUGCUUUAAAACCACUGGUCAAAUUUUGGACACAGAAUAUCACAUAUAUUUGACAAAUAAUUAAUAAAAAUCAGAAUUUAAUUGGUUUUACAAUUAUGAGCUAAUUGAAUGAUAUAGUGUAGGCAGACAUAUGUAAAAUAAAGUGAUGUCGCCUAGUUUAAUUACUUAGUCAGAUGUUGUUACACCCACAGUGAUUCUUCAUAUAGCAAUGUAAAGUGUAUACUUUUAGUGUCAAAUUAGCUAUUUCCAUGCAUGAUUUGAUACUGAUAAAAUUAAUUAAAGCAAUGAAAUUUAAAUAUUAAUAGCUUAUCUUCAGUUCCACUGAGAUUUAUAUCUAAAUACUGGCAUGCUCAAGAAUCAAUAAUCCACUUAUGCAUUAUUUUUAUGUCCUUUUCAUUUUUCUUUUUAGCUCUAAUGAUGAAACAUAAGUAUCUGGAAUAAAAUUUUAUUUUUCCUUAAGACAUUUUUUAAUAUAGAAAUGCUUACCAGUCUUACUGUUAAAAACUGAAAAGAGUCAUAUAAAUUUGCAGAAAUGUCUGUGCCUAUCUGGCUCCACUCUCCUCUCAAUAAGAAUGUGUAAUUCCUGGGCAAGUCGUACUGUCAGGUUGGGCAUCAGGAGGAAAUUCCGAUUCCUUUUGUGACAUUUUCAAUCAUGUCUGGCAUUUACUUUAAAGGACCGCUUCAUCAAAAUUAUUUCUAAUCUAGGAGCUCUGAUUAUCAUUUAAAUAGAUUUGCUAAUUUUUAUUGAUUAAGGAUCCAAAUCAACCAAUAUUAUGUGGUUUAAAAUCAUUAUCUUCAUGUAAUAACUUAUCUUGACAGUAUGCUUUCUUAAAAUAAAGAAUUAUUGAUUGUAUCCUAAGUUUCCCCAGUUCUUAUGAUGUGGAAACAUAUUUCUUUAGAAAUAUAAUGAGAUUGUUUGUAUUUAUUUUUAGUAGAGUUAAAAAUUAAGUUCGACCAUUGUAAGAACAUAUUUUAAAUGCCACCAGAAUUCAGGAUGCAGAUUUAUGGUAGAUUUUGUAAUCUCCUGCCAAAUAACAUCUAUAGCUCAUCCAAGGGUCUGUUAGCCACUCCAAGAGAUGUUUGGCUUGUUCUGAUGCCACAGCACUAGAAUCAGGAAUGUAUUGGGUCUAAGUGAGACAAUCUUGGGAAGACCAAGAGUGGUGGAUUAGAAGUUUAUUCCAAAUUAAGUGUGUCUGUUAUAUACUAGCAAUCACAUUGUGCACGGUAGAACCCUAAGACUAAGAAGCCCACGGCUCAGUGGUAGUUGUGGCCAGCAUGUAUCUGGGCAAGACUGUGUAACGGACUGCUUAACUUUUGUCUUUUUAAAGCUAGGCUGAAGAGAGUAAUUGAACUUUCAGAAGGUCUGAUGUGCCCCUUACACGCUAAGAAUCAUCCACAACUACGUUUCCACUAGUGAGUUGGCACUGGGAAGCUCAGAAACUUAUAUCAAUGUUUGUGGUAAAAUAAUGUUGCUGAAUUCUCUGCCUUCAAAUUUGAUUGUACUGGCUUCCCUUUCUAUCCUUUAGAAAAGUAAACCCUGUGUAAUUUGCCAAAGUAACAUCCGUGUCUGAUCGUAAAUAUUAUGACUUGCAUUUUAUUCCAGAUUUUCAAUAUGUUUGCAACAAGAAAAUAAGUAAUCACCCAGAAUUUAAACUCACCCUUGUCAUCAUGUAGUUGGUCAUUACUAUAAAGAACAGUUUGGAAUUAAAUAAUUCCUUUUGUAUAUUUAUGCUUCUACUAAAGUAAACAUCAUUUAAAUUAGUGUGAAAUUAUAAUCACAAACAACACCCCAACCACAGAAGCUUAACCAUAAAUAUUAGCACAUUAUCAUCUUUGCCAAUAGGAAAUGGGCAAUAAUUGUGAUUUAUAAAGUCUGUUUGAUUCUCUUAAUUUUCCUAGGUAUUUAUAUAGAGUCAGUCUUAGACAGAAACACGUGAGAGUUAUUUACAUCCUCAAUUCUCCAUUUGAAAUCAAGCCUUUUAUUUUGAGAUGCUCCCUCUACACUGGAUUCCAAACAAGCUUAUGUUACAAACAUUCCCAAAAGAAUUCUAUUCCCAAGCUUUUCAGUGCACUGACACCCUUCCUGCAUACUGUAACAGACUACUUUCUGCUAGUGUAUCUGACAAACCAUUCUCCACAUUUAUAUUAGAUGAAAGCUAACAAUUUGCUUAUUACCUCAUUCCAGGAAACAUUUACAUUUAAGUCAAGAUAUUCCUAGUACCUUAAAUAUAGUAUUUAUCAUUUAUUUAACUAAAAGGACCACUCUAUUAUUCCUCUGUGGAUCUUAUGUUUUGAAAGAUUUUGACUGUCAUUUUGUAUUUGUAAGAAAAUAAGUGAUGGAUAUGGGUAUUGUGAUAAUCAGACAUAUGAUUCAGGUAAGUGUGUCUGCUCUAUCAUCAUAUUCCAGAAGUUUUGGUGAUAUCACCGGCAAUUAAUCUGAGCUUCUGAUUAGCACGAAUUUAGAACUGUGAUACUUUCAACCAAAUGGGAAGAAGUAAAUUAAGAGUUUCAUUAGAAUUUCCAAAACAUUGAAAAUGAUCUUUCAGGCUUCACUGCUACAUAUAGACUUUUAGAAGGAAAAGAACUCAGAGAACCAGUGUCUUCAUCCAAAAGAGUGACGCCAAGAUUUGGAAUUUUCUACCAGUGGAAGAAAUGAUUUUAGUUAAACCUCAUUAGCUCUUAUGUUCAAAAGAUGUGCUGCUCAAUGUUCAUACUGAAACUAUUUAC
rnacentral:lncRNA from 1 species